UUAAAGGAAUUGACGGAAGGGCACCACAAGAAGUGGGACCUGCGGUUCAAUUUGACUCAACACGGGACAACUUACUAGGCCAGGACACUCGAAGGAUUGACAGAUUGAGAGCUCUUUCUUGAUUGGGUGGGUGGUGGUGCAUGGCCGUUCCCAGUUCGUGGAUCGAUCUGUCUGCUUAAUUGCGAUAACGAACGAGAUUCUGGCCUGCUAACUAGGCGAUACUGGCAUCCUAUGCGCAGCCAGCGACUCUCAAUCUUCUUAGAGGGACAGGUGGCUUCUAGCCACACGAAAAUGAGCGAUAACAGGUCUGAGAUGCCCUUAGAUGUUCUGGGCUACACGCGCGUCACACUGAAGGGAUCAUCGUGUGUUUUCCUAGCCCGAGAGGGCCGGGUAACCCGUUGAAACUCCUUCGUGCUAGGGAUUGGGGCUUGCAAUUUUUCCCCACCAACGAGGAAUUCCCAGUAAGCGCGGGUCACUAAGCUCGCGUUGAUUACGUCCCUGCCCUUUGUCCACACCGCCCGUCGCUACUACCGAUUGAAUGAUUCAGUGAGGUCUUCGGACCAGCGCGCGGGCUUCGCUUCGGCGAGGACCGAUGUUGCCGGGAAGAUGACCGAACUCGAUUAUUUAGAGGAAGUAAAAGUCGUAACAAGGUUCCC
rnacentral:rRNA from 1 species